AUUGAACGCUGGCGGCAGGCCUAACACAUGCAAGUCGAACGAGUGGCGGCCGGGUGAGUAAUGUCUGGGAAACUGCCCGAUGGAGGGGGAUAACUACUGGAAAAAGUAGCUAAUACCGCAUACAAUCGGAUGUGCCCAGAUGGGAUUAGCUAGUAGGUGGUGUAACGCCUCACCUAGGCGACGAUCCCUAGCUGGUCUGAGAGGAUGACCGUCCACCUUGGAGCUGAACCACGGUCCCGACUCCUACGGGAGGCAGCAGUGGGUGACAGUGCACAAUGGGCGCAAGCCUGAUGCAUCCAUGCCGCGUGUAUGAAGAAGGCCUUCGGGUUGUAAAGUCCUUUCAGCGAGGACGCGUUACUCGCAGAAGAAGCACCGGCUAACUCCGUGCCAGCAGCCGCGGUAAUUC
rnacentral:rRNA from 1 species